UUACAGUGUUCUGUCAAUCUCUUCUGGACAGCAAAGCGAUGCAAUCAUACAUACAUAUAUUCUUUCUCUCACAUUAUCUUCCACCAUGUUCCAUCACAAGUGACUAGAUACAGUUCUCUGUGCUAUACAGCGGGAUCUCACUGCUUACUCUAUUGGUUCUUUCUCACAGCAGUGAUACAUCUGCAAAGAUCCACCCAUACUCUCUCCCUGAUACCCCUUGUGGCUUCUGGCAAAGUCUGCUGGACUGCUGGUUGAUAUUGCAGCCAUGAAGAGAGAAAAGGACCACAUACAUGAGCUAGACGGACUCACACUCUGCUUUGUCACUAGCUAAAAACAAUGAUUAACAAAUACCAUGGGAGGGCGGUGGGAAAGGCAGCAGGGCACCCUGGAAAGUGCCUAACAAGGCAAUUCAUCUCUUGCUAGUUUCCAAGGACACUGAGUUUUCACCUCCUGGUACCCAAGUCCUAAGACAUUUCAUCAGCAUGAGUGUUGGUUUUUUGUUUCUGACUCCCUGUGGCUACAGAUCAUUUCCAAGCUUCAUGUCUACUCCUGCCUCACUUUCUUCUGCCAUCACCCUCCUGGUCUUGAGCUUACCAUCCCCCAAACACCCUCUCUUUUCUUGACCACUCACUUCCUUCCCAUGGAAUCUAGGUAAUGUGUUCCCUCAGGAAACUUCUGCCUUACCCAUUAUCACCAACAUCAAUCAGGACACAGAUAAUAUAUAAAAAUUACCACAUUUAAAAAGUGCUCUGAUCUGGAUAUCUUUUAGGGGCUCUUUGCUCAGUUUUAAUAAAUAACUCCAGGAGUUCCCGUCAUGGCUCAGUGGUUAACAAAUCUGACUGGGAACCAUGAGGUUGGGGGUUUGAUCCAUGGCCUUGCUCAGUGGGUUAAGGAUCUGGCAUUGCUCUGACUGUGGUGUAGGCCUGCAGCUACAGCUCUGAUUAGACCCCCUAGCCUGGGAACCUCCAUAUGCCAUGGGAGUGGCCCUAGAAAAGGGAAAAAGACAAUAAAUAAAUAGAUAAAUAACUUCAAAUUUAUGAGUAUGAAAGGUAGGAAAUGUUUCCAUAUUCAUGAAUGUAGCCCCACAGCAAUAUUUAUAAUGAAAUAAAAAACACUAUUUUUAGGAUAACCCAAUGAUCCUUUAAUCAUCACAAAAACUUUUGGAACCCCCAGUCUAAAAAAAAAAUCCAAACUGAAGCAAAUGUAUAUGAUAGAUGUUAUAAAUGUUUUUGAAAAUGAAGUUAUGACUCAGAAGGGCAUGGAUUUCUCCUCUGAAAUGUUGUAAGCCUAAUGCGAAUGAUUUGUUUGGUCACUUCACAUCAGAAAUUUCCUAAUUUUCCACUGUGAAAAAGUUUUCAAUCUUUAAACAAGACUACUGCUAAUACAUCUUAAAAUUCCAAGACUAAAAGGAAUUUCUUCCAAAUUAAAUUUCUAGUUUAAAAAGAGAAGCAAGCUGUAGUCUCGCUUUAUACGUUUCCAUGUAUAAUGUCAAUAUACGUGGAAAAUGGGAUUUAAAAUCAACACCAUACAAAAUCAUGAAAUCCGAGACCCCAGAAAUGAAAAUAUUUACAUUCUUAUCUAUCCUUUAUUGAAAUUGACAAAGUUUUAAGUAAGAAUGUCAUAAUCUUUUAACAGAUCAUAAAACUGACAUGAUGGCAAAAAUCUUUUCAGUGGGAGUCAAUUUACUCUGCCACAGGAAGGCAAAAAUCACCACAUUAAAAUCACAUGCUAAUUGCCAAUCCUGGCUUUGCAGUCCCCAAAUCUUGAAAACGAAAUUAUUGCAGUUCACUCUGGGACUGUCUACAUGUACAUUUUUAGCAUCAAAUAACAUUUUUUAGAGAAGACAAAAUUUCAAUUUUACUAACAAAAGAGUGGUACAAUUUCAAAAGAUUGUACAACUUUCAAAAAGUAGAGUAAUGACCUGCCUACUCUUGUAUUUACAUUUUGAAAGUAAACAGUAUCAGAUGCUUCAGGGAAUAACAUCCUAUAUGAUCACUUGUCCAUUUAUUUUUACAUAGGAAAUCUUCAAAAAGCAGGUAGAGAUAAGAACUCGACUUGAAAUCUCAAACCAUUUAAUCCAAAAUUUCAAAUCAUUUAAUCUAAAAUUAAGAGUAGCCACAAAAAACCUAGGAGAGCAUUCAAGAAGCAAAGUUAGAAAUCACCCUCUCUGAAAGUGGGCAACGUUAGUAAGAAAAAAGUUGGUAAUUAUUUUGUCAUCAAUUUGUUGAUCCCUUCCUUAUGGCCUGUCUCAUGGGGUUAAGGAUCUGGCAUUGCUGUGACACCAACCAUACUGGAGAAUCUGUGUACCCAUGUGUUUUCCCCACCAGAUUUAAGGUGAGGAGCUGUGUCUCAUUCAUUCAUGCCCACGUUCUUCACACCAAGUCCAGUGCAUUAUACACAGUAGAGAAAGAAAAAAGGUUGAAUAAUUUAAGGUAAUACAUGUAUUCCUAACUGGAGAUAAUCAGUUAUGCUCCAAUUCAUGUAAGGACAUUCAUAAUUUCAUUUUAGCUAAUAAGCAGUGAGUAAUUUGAUGGGUUUUUUUUAAUCCACAAAGCUAUGAAAUAGAUUUUAAGCUCUAAAUAACAUAGUUAUAUUUUAAACAUAUUUAAAAGAAAUACAUAGUGAAACAUUUAAAAAACACUCUCACAAAUAAAGUUGAAGGGAGUUCCCAUCAUGGCUCAGCGGAAACAAAUCUGACUAGCAUCCAUGAGGACGCAGUUUCCAUCCCUGGGCCUGCUCAGUGGGUUAAGGAUCUGGCGUUGCCAUGAGCCUUGGUUGUAGGUCGCAGAUUCAGCUCGGUUCUUGCUUUGCUGUGGCUGUGGUGUAGGCCAGCAGCUAUAGCUCUGAUUCAACCCCUAGCCUGGAAACCUCCAUAAGCUACAGGUGCAGCCCUAAAUAGACAAAAAAUAAAAAUAAUAAUAAAGUAGAAAAUGAUUGACUUCACUGUGUAUAAAAUGGAACCAGACGGUGUUGGUAUGGUGAAUGUAAAGUGACCAGGCACAGAUGUUUUAAAAUGACAUGACAGGAACCUUAUAGAGUGAAUUAAAAGAGACCCUGGAAUUCUGAUUGGAAAAGUCUGGCUGGCAAAUAGGAGGCUUAAUUAAUGUAAAGUACUGCCAUCUCCAUUCAGACAGGGUUUGAGAAGGUGGGGAGUUUCCCAUCCCUCGGGAACAAUGACUUCUACCCCAAUCUACAUGGUACGGCUGGAAACAGGUACAGAACUGAUUCAGCCCAGCGACUCACCCUCCACUGCCCAAAGGAAAUAACGUGAUACCAAGGAGAGAGGGCCCUCUCUGGACCCCCAACAAUCUCAGUUCCAUCAUCUCUAAAGCUCUAGUCCAUAGCAAAAGUAGGCAAAUUAGGAGUUCCCAUUGUGGCUCAGUGGUUAACAAACCCAACGAGUAUCCAUGAGGACGACAGUUCGAUCCCUGGUGGGUUAAGGAUCUUGCAUUGCCACGAGCUGUGGUGUAGGUAACAGACGUAGCUCAGAUCCCACCUUGCUGCUGCUGUGGCUGGGGCUGUGGCUGUGGUGUAGGCCAGCAGCUACAGCUCCGAUUUGACCCCUAGCCUGGGAACCUCCAUAUGCCUCGGGUAUGGCCCUAAAAAGACAAAAGACCAAAAACAAAGUAGGCAAAUUACAGGCUAUAGGCCAAAAUGGGCCAGAUCUGACCCCCUCCUGUGUUUGUACAACCUGCAAGCUAGGAAUGGGUUUUUACUUUUUAAAUGUUAAGACGAAGAAUCAUAUUUCAUAACACAUGAAAAUUUUAUGAAAUUCAAAUGUCCAUUCCAUAAAGUUUUCAUUGGAAUACAGUUGUGCUCAUUCAUUACAUGUUGUCUGCAGCUGCUUUUUCACUACAACGGCAGAGCAGACAGAGACCUUAUAGCUUGCCAAGCCUAAGAUAGUUACUACCUGGCCCUUAACAGUAAAAAGCAUGGUGACCUCUGGGCUAGAAGAUUUCUCCGUGCUCCCACCUGCAUCUGAUUUCUGAGUUAGUCCACUGCUUCAUAAGGUACAGACUCUAAGCUUGAGAGAUGUCCAUCUUGGGGCUGUUCUGUCCAAAGUUACAUCAAUGUAUAUAACACAGUGCAACUCAUUAGGAUAGGGCCAAAGACAAAGUAACAAAUUGCAUGCACAAAGAAGGCACUGAAAAGGAAGCACAAUGCAAGCACAACAUUACAGGCAGAACAGUUCUGGGUGACACUACUGAGAAAAAUGAGAACUACAGAGAAUUUGGAGAUGGACAGAUGAUUAAAAGAGCUCACAAAUCAUACCACUAAAGAAAUAGGAUUAGCUGGCCCAAAGAAAAAACGAUGAGAAAAGAACUACAGUACCGAGGGAGUCCAACUCUACAUUUGUUGAUAGGCUAAAUUCCUACUGAUGAAAAUAAUUGGCAACAAACUAAAUUUGCACAAAAUAUUUAUCUAAUGAAUUAAAUGUGAUUCUUAAUAAGAUUGCUGCUCCUGCCUCAGGCCAUAAACUAAACCCUUAAAAAGUAAUCCCUUGUUAAAUACUGUGCUAUAAGACUUAAACUGAUAUAUUAUAGGGACAUUCCUUUUCCAGAAACAUUUGUCACUUUGUAAGUUAUCAGAAA
rnacentral:lncRNA from 1 species